rnacentral:rRNA from 1 species
GAUGAACGCUGGCGGCGUGCCUAAUACAUGCAAGUCGAGCGAACAGACGAGGAGCUUGCUCCUCUGACGUUAGCGGCGGACGGGUGAGUAACACGUGGAUAACCUACCUAUAAGACUGGGAUAACUUCGGGAAACCGGAGCUAAUGCCGGAUAAUAUAUUGAACCGCAGGGUUCAAUAGUGAAAGACGGCUUUGCUGUCACUUAUAGAUGGAUCCGCGCCGCAUUAGCUAGUUGGUAAGGUAACGGCUUACCAAGGCAACGAUGCGUAGCCGACCUGAGAGGGUGAUCGGCCACACUGGAACUGAGACACGGUCCAGACUCCUACGGGAGGCAGCAGUAGGGAAUCUUCCGCAAUGGGCGAAAGCUUGACGGAGCAACGCCGCGUGAGUGAUGAAGGUCUUCGGAUCGUAAAACUCUGUUAUUAGGGAAGAACAAAUGUGUAAGUAACUAUGCACGUCUUGACGGUACCUAAUCAGAAAGCCACGGCUAACUACGUG